CAGAGGUUGGCCCCCUGAGGUGUGAGUGAAAUGAGCCUUUGCUUUAUUUUCUAAGUUUCUCUCUCACCUUCAGGGGCAUUCUUCAGGGGUGCGUCAGAGGGAGGGCAGAGCCUGAGGAUCUAAGCGAAGGCUUCCCCGGGUGUAAUUUCCUGGGCUGUUUGUGAGGAGAGAUCGAAUUCGCCUCCUGCUCUCAGGCCUCUCUGCUCCUGUCUUUUGUUUGGAUGCCGGCGCUGCUGCCUGUGGCCUCCCGCCUUUUGUUGCUACCCCGAGUCCUGCUGACCAUGGCGUCUGGAAGCCCUCCCACCCAGCCCUCGCCAGCCUCGGAUUCCGGCUCCGGCUACGUUCCGGGCUCGGUCUCUGCAGCCUUUGUCACUUGCCCCAACGAGAAGGUCGCCAAGGAGAUCGCCAGGUAGGGACCUCGAUGUGCAGCGAGAAAGGAUGAUCAUGAAGGGAGAGUUGGGGGUGGGGCAGAAGAGUGCUGCUUCCUCCUUUCUCCAGCUCUGGAAGCCUGUCUCUGGGCUGCCAGUACAAAAACUGGGGUCAUAGGGUACUCUGAAUGGGACUGUCUCUUCACUCCAGGGCCGUGGUGGAGAAGCGCCUAGCAGCCUGCGUCAACCUCAUCCCUCAGAUUACAUCCAUCUAUGAGUGGAAAGGGAAGAUCGAGGAAGACAGUGAGGUGCUGAUGAUGAUUAAAACCCAAAGUUCCUUGGUCCCAGCUUUGACAGAUUUUGUUCGUUCUGUGCACCCUUACGAAGUGGCCGAGGUAAUCGCAUUGCCUGUGGAACAGGGGAACUUUCCGUACCUGCAGUGGGUGCGCCAGGUCACAGAGUCAGUUUCUGACUCUAGCACAGUCCUGCCAUGAUGAACCCUGUUCCUGCCGUGAUCCCCUCAAUACUUCGCCUUCUGACUUCCAGGUGAUGACUGGGCCCCCAAUAAAUCCUGUCUUUGGGU
rnacentral:sRNA from 1 species